CCUACGGGUGGCAGCAGUGGGGGAUAUUGCACAAUGGGGGAAACCCUGAUGCAGCGACGCCGCGUGGGUGAAGAAGCGCCUCGGCGCGUAAAGCCCUGUCAGCAGGGAAGAAAAUGACGGUACCUGAAGAAGAAGCCCCGGCUAACUACGUGCCAGCAGCCGCGGUAAUACGUAGGGGGCCAGCGUUAUCCGGAUUGACUGGGUGUAAAGGGGGCGCAGACGGCGGUGCAAGCCAGGAGUGAAAGCCCGGGGCCCAACCCCGGGACUGCCCGUGGAACUGCGUGGCUAGAGUGCAGGAGGGGCAGGCGGAAUUCGUGGUGUAGCGGUGAAAUGCGUAGAUAUCAGGAGGAACACCGGUGGCGAAGGCGGCCUGCUGAACUGCAACUGACGUUGAGGCCCGAAAGCGUGGGGAGCAAACAGGAUUAGAUACCCUGGUAGUC
rnacentral:rRNA from 1 species